UGUAGGGAGAGCCAUCCUAAACGAUGACGUUUCACGUUGCCAUACUACUAUCCCCCACCCAAAAAAGCCGACACCGUUUUGAGAAGGCACUGUUCGAAAUCCGUUCAGCCAUGAACAAGGUGGUCCGAAAAUUCUAAAAUCUGAUUUCUAACCCUUCGAAUCGAAGUAAAUACUAACAGGAAGCUGAGUCUCUAGUUUGUACGACGAAGUAGACAAAAAUGAAUUUGAUUUCACUUUGGGACCUGCGAGUAUCUAGCAUUUCGGUUCCACCCGCCACAAGCAGCAGCUUCUGCAAGCCAUCUAGUUCAGCAUGUAAGUUUCAUUUCCCAUUUCCGAAUUACGCUUCUCGUAGAACUCCAAGUAAGUCCAACGCGAUCUUUGCCAAGAGGGGGAGGUCAGAAUCUGCCGAGCUCCGUCUCAAACCAAACAUAAUUGAACAAGUACCAGUGGACGAAGAAGAGCAAGAAGAGGAGCAGGCUCUUUUUGAUGAAUUCGAUGAUGAGAUAGCAGUGGAUGAUGCUUCAUACUUUGAAGAUGAGUUUAUCGAGAAUGAGACUGACCUCUAUGUUGGGGAUGGAGGUGGAGGAGGGGGGAUUAAGCUGGGGGGAACUUGGUGGGAUAAAGAAGCAUUAGCAAUAGCCGAAGAUGUUUGCCAGUCCUUUGAUGGUCAACUGAAGAUAUAUGCCUUUAAGACACUGUCAAAUUCCACAAUUCAAGUGCGCAUAGAGAGGCUCACUAACAAAUCUGGUUCCCCUAGUUUGGAAGACAUUCAAGCUUUCUCUCUAGCAUAUAGAACCAGGCUGGAUGAAGCUGAGUUUGCUAAAACUAUACCUGACAAUAUAUCUUUGGAGGUAUCAUCUCCUGGUGUUGAAAGAGUAGUCCUGGUUCCACAAGAGUUAGAUCGAUUCAAGGACCGGCCUGUGUAUGUAAAAUAUGUAAACGAGAUAUCCACAACUGGUUUGUCCACAGAAAAUGAUGGCGUUUUCAGGCUUGUCUCUUUUGAUAUGGAAACAAAAUGUUGUACCUGGGGGUUAGCAGAUGUAAGGAUAAAUAGAGAAAAAGCUGGCAAAGGAAGACCUCUUAGCAAAAAGCAGAGGGAGUGGCGUUUGACUACCACCUUUGAUUCCUUACGUUUGGUCCGGUUGUAUUCUGAUAUAUGAAUGCUACAGGUUUUUAAUUUUUCCCUUUUAAUCUGUUAGACAAGUGUGUGCAGAAAAUUCUGGAGCUAGUGACUAACAGCAAAGUAGCAGAGCCAAGACUUACAAGAAAUCAUUCAAUAUUCGAACACGUUGUAAAGUAUUUCUGUUUACUGCAUAUUAGGUUGAUUGAACUCAUGGGUGUCUCCUCUUGGAAUAAGGACAUGGUAACCUCCCCGCCUGAAAUAUGAAAUAAAGAAGAGAUCUGAAUGACUUAAAUUUUUAAUAAUUGUUAUCGGAAAAUUUUUCAAUUUUCUGGAGAAAACUAAUCUCCCUAAAAAUAUGAAAUACUGGUUAGAGGAUUCCACUGUUAUGGAGAUUUGAUCUAAUUUUAUUUGUUGUAAUUAGUUUGGUAUAUUUUUAUUUGUAACAGCAAUAUAUACUUCACGGC